rnacentral:rRNA from 1 species
GACGAACGCUGGCGGCAUGCCUAAUACAUGCAAGUAGGACGCAGUUGCGAACGGGUGAGUAACGCGUAGGAGACUACCUAUUAGCGGGGGAUAAGUAUUGGAAACGAUAGCUAAUACCGCAUACUAGUAGAUGGUACUUCGUUGGAUUAGCUAGUAGGUAGGGUAAUGGCCUACCUAGGCAAGCAUACAUAGCCUACCUGGAGGGGUUGUCGGCCACCAUGGUACUGGGGCACGGCCCCAGACCCUUCGGGGGGCAGGCGUAGGGGAUCUUCGGCAAUGGGGGGAACCCUUACCCAGCCACGCCGCGUGGGUGAAGAAGGUUUUCGGAUCGUAAAGCUCUGUUGUUCAGGAAGCGGUACUUACCCAGAAAGGGCCGGCUAACUACGUGCCAGCAGCCGCGGUAAUAC